UAGCAAUUGUUUGUAAACCGUGAGUUCGUUCGCAGAGGUUUUGCUAGAUGGUCGGAGACGUGAGAGGUCAUAUGAGGACAGGUGAAGGAUUUCAUUGGAUAUGCAGGGAACAUGCAGAUAAUUUCUUGAGCUAAGUCACAGAUUUCUUGCCGCGUUUAUAGACACAAUUUCUUUCUGAGACAAAAAUGUUUCUCAGCAGAUUCAGAGUGGUGUAACCUCACUUUAUUAUUGAUUAUUGAAAACCGGUUGCCCGGUAUAAAAUCACUUGCCAUCAGGUCUAGUGUUGCCCUCACAUAUUAGCAAAAUUUGAAGCAAAUUAUUGCAGUAAGGAUGUAAUAUAUGAACAACGAGAACGAGUGUUUCACCGGGAUAUCCAAACACGAGAAAACAAUGUACGAAAACACGAGCGCGAAGCGCGAGUGUUUUCAUACAUUGUUUUCGAGUGUUUGGAUAUCCCGGUGAGACACGAGCUCGAGUUGUUUAUAUGGCUUCUCAAAUGAAUCGAGA